rnacentral:rRNA from 1 species
GAUGAACGCUGGCGGCGUGCCUAAUACAUGCAAGUCGAGCGAACAGACGAUGAGCUUGCUCCUCUGACGUUAGCGGCGGACGGGUGAGUAACACGUGUAUAACCUACCUAUCUUACUGGGAUAACUUCGGGAAUCCGGAUCUAAUCCCGUAUAAUAUAUUGCACCGCAUUGUUCAAUAGUGAAAUACGGUUUUUCUGUCUCUUCUAGAUGGAUCCGCGCCGCAUUAGCUAGUUGGUAAGUUAACGGCUUACCAAGGCUACGAUGCGUAGCCGACCUGAGAGGGUGAUAGGCGACACUGGAACGGAGACAGGGUCAAGAGGACUAAGGGAGGCAGCAGUAGGGAAUGUUACGCAAUGGGCGAAAGCAUGACGGAGCAAGGCCGAGUGAGUGAUGAAGGUCUUCGGAGCGUAAAACUCUGUUAUGAGGGAAGAACAAAUGUGGAAGGAAAUAUGCACGUAGUGACGGUAACGAAUCAGAAAGCCACGGCUAACUACGUG